rnacentral:tRNA from 1 species
GCCCGGAUGGUGGAAUUGGCGGUGACACAAGGGAUUUAAAAUCCCCUUCGGCAAGCCCGCGCUGUGCGGGUUCAAGUCCCGCUCCGGGCACCA